rnacentral:rRNA from 1 species
ACGGAAGGCAGCAGUGGGGAAUAUUGGGCUAUGGGCGAAAGCCUGACCCAGCGACGCCGCGUGAAGGAAGACGGUCCUCGGAUUGUAAACUUCUGUCCUUAGGGAAGAGAAAGAGACGGUACCUGAGGAGGAAGCCCCGGCUAACUACGUGCCAGCAGCCGCGGUAAUACGUAGGGGGCAAGCGUUGUCCGGAAUGAUUGGGCGUAAAGGGCGCGUAGGCGGCUCGGUAAGUCUGGAGUGAAAGUCCUGCCUUCAAGGUGGGAAUUGCUUUGGAUACUGUCGAGCUUGAGUGCAGGAGAGGUUAGUGGAAUUCCCAGUGUAGCGGUGAAAUGCGUAGAGAUUGGGAGGAACACCAGUGGCGAAGGCGACUAACUGGACUGUAACUGACGCUGAGGCGCGAAAGUGUGGGGAGCAAACAGGAUUAGAUACCCUGGUA